UACGUAGGGUGCAAGCGUUAAUCGGAAUUACUGGGCGUAAAGCGUGCGCAGGCGGUUGUGCAAGAAAAAUGUGAAAUCCCCGGGCUUAACCUGGGAACUGCAUUUGUGACUGCACAGCUAGAGUGCGGCAGAGGGGGAUGGAAUUCCGCGUGUAGCAGUGAAAUGCGUAGAUAUCAGGAGGAAUACCGAUGGCGAAGGCAGGUCUCUGGGCUGACACUGACGCUCGUGCACGAAAGCGUGGGGAGCAAACAGG
rnacentral:rRNA from 1 species